GAAGAACCUUACCUAAGCUUGACAUCCCAAUGACAUCUCCUUAAUCGGAGAGUUCCCUUUGGGGACAUUGGUGACAGGUGGUGCAUGGUUGUCGUCAGCUCGUGUCGUGAGAUGUUGGGUUAAGUCCCGCAACGAGCGCAACCCUUGUCUUUAGUUGCCAUCAUUAAGUUGGGCACUCUAGAGAGACUGCCAGGGAUAACCUGGAGGAAGGUGGGGAUGACGUCAAAUCAUCAUGCCCCUUAUGCUUAGGGCUACACACGUGCUACAAUGGGUAGUACAGAGGGUUGCCAAGCCGUAAGGUGGAGCUAAUCCCUUAAAGCUACUCUCAGUUCGGAUUGUAGGCUGAAACUCGCCUACAUGAAGCUGGAGUUACUAGUAAUCGCAGAUCAGAAUGCUGCGGUGAAUACGUUCCCGGGUCUUGUACACACCGCCCGUCACACCACGGGAGUUGGAGACGCCCGAAGCCGAUUAUCUAACCUUUUGGAAGAAAUCGUCGAAGGUGGAAUCAAUAACUGGGGUGAAGUCGUAACAAGGUAGCCGUAUCGGAAGGUGCGGCUGGAUCACCUCCUUUCUAAGGAGA
rnacentral:rRNA from 1 species